rnacentral:rRNA from 1 species
GCCUACAGCCACACCACCCGGAACACACCCGAUCUCAUCUGAUCUCGGAAGCUAAGUAGAGUCGGGUCUGGUUAGUACGUGGAUGGGAGAAACUGUUUAGUUUUUUGCC